rnacentral:rRNA from 1 species
AAAGGGUGCGUAGGCGGGUAGGUAAGUCAGUGGUGAAAUCCUGGAGCUCAACUCCAGAACUGCCAUUGAUACUAUCUAUCUUGAAUAUUGUGGAGGUAAGCGGAAUAUGUCAUGUAGCGGUGAAAUGCUUAGAUAUGACAUAGAACACCCAUUGCGAAGGCAGCUUACUACGCAUAUAUUGACGCUGAGGCACGAAAGCGUGGGGAUCAAACAGGAUUAGAUACCCCUGU